GGUCACAACGUGGUCACACCACCUCCGCAAAACUCUACACUACUUGUUUUUUUUUUCAUUCUCUAAAAUUCGAUAAGUUUUGAGUUCGUAAGAAAUAAUUCGGAGAUAAGCGCCGUGUGUAACCGGGAAGCGAGUCGCGAAUCACAAACGGAAAACUGCGCAGUACGUUUAGAGCGAGAACGUCGAAACGCCUUGAACUUUUGUUGUGCGUUUAUUUUCAAUCUCAGCGCGGUGCGCGAUCCGGAGAAGUCAGGAGUCGACGUAACUUUUGCAUUGCUUGCAUUACGUCGCAUCGUUAUCGCGUUUAUUUUCGCCAUUGACAGAUUUUUACAUUUUGACAGUACAUAGAUGUGUAACGCCUUUUUGUUCAGGUAGAUGGCAGGAGUGUAGUAGUGGCACAAAGGGUCCAGGCAUUCUCCAGUGGCGAUGCCUUCCAUGCUUCCAUUCUGUGGAAAACCGUCCUUGCUCCACUUCACAGUCGACGCACUUAACGUUCAUGAACUAAUUCGCAUUAUAAGCAGACGUUCCCGUCCAACGAUUGACAUGGAGACCAGGGGAAAGCCUAAAUAUGAAGAGACAAAGGCGGAAAUGGGAACAAAAUGACAUUCAGCGGGAGACAUUGAAAGUUGCCUAUAUUAACACACAAGUUGACAUAAGUUUCGUGUUUCGUGUUAGUUUAAAGUUUAAAAUGAAAACAAAUCUUGCAAUAUAUUAGAUUAUUUCUAA